AUGUCAACCCUUGUGUUGUGGAAUUACAGGUACAGUUCCAUCUAUACAUCCCUAGAGCUGACACCACCUCAGUACCCCUGCUUAAGAAGGACUAGGUCACCUCAUAUAUUAGGAAAAAUAACCACCAAUAAGGGGAAGAAAGCUAAAUUAUUGCAAAAGAAAUUCUUAGUGCUUUGCUUGCUGUUUCAGUCUUCCUCAUCUCUCUGGGAAACAGACAGAGAAUGACCAUUCACAGUUCACCACUCUUCAAGCAAGUUCAAGAAACUAGAUGAAAAAUAUAAAAAUAUGAUCUCUCUUUCCUCCAUCCAAUUUCAUCAUACUUUGUAUUCAAAUGAGAUGUGAAGCAUAUUUCAAAUUUUAUAUAUAAAUGUAU
rnacentral:lncRNA from 1 species